rnacentral:tRNA from 1 species
GCCCUAGUGUUGGAGUCGGUAGACAAAAUGGAUUUAAAAUCCGUCUCAAUUCGCGCCGUGCGAGUUCAAGUUUCGCCUCGGACACCA